rnacentral:tRNA from 1 species
GGGGCAGUAGCUCAGUUGGUAGAGCGCGUCGUUCGCAAUGACGAGGUCAGGGGUUCGAUUCCCCUCUGCUCCACCA